rnacentral:tRNA from 1 species
UCCCUGGUGGUCCAGUGGUUAAGAAUCUGCCUUGCAAUGCAGGGAACACAGGUUCAAUCCCUGGUCAGGGAA